UGAGUAGUAUAAAUAUGUCUCAUGCAAUAUUUAGGACAUACUUAUAUUAAAA
rnacentral:pre_miRNA from 1 species